UACGUAGGGGGCAAGCGUUGUUCGGAAUUACUGGGCGUAAAGGGCGUGUAGGCGGCGCGGUAUGUUGGACGUGAAAUCCCCGGGCUUAACCCGGGGCGGUCGUUCAAAACUGCCGUGCUAGAGUGUGGGAGAGGGAAGUGGAAUUCCCGGUGUAGCGGUGAAAUGCGUAGAUAUCGGGAAGAACACCUGUGGCGAAGGCGGCUUCCUGGCCCACAACUGACGCUGAGGCGCGAAAGCUAGGGGAGCAAACAGG
rnacentral:rRNA from 1 species